GACGAACGCUGGCGGCGUGCUUAACACAUGCAAGUCGAACGAAGUGGCGAACGGGUGAGUAACGCGUAAUCAACCUGCCCUUCAGAGGGGGACAACAGUUGGAAACGACUGCUAAUACCGCAUACUGAAGGAGGGGCUUGCGUCAGAUUAGCUAGUUGGAGGGGUAACGGCCCACCAAGGCGAUGAUCAGUAGCCGGUCCUGGAGGAAGAACCAGCACAAUGGGACUGAGACACGGGCCCGAAUCCUUAGGGGGGCAACAGUGGGGAAACUUCCGAAAUGGACGGAAGUCUGGCGGAGCAACGCCGCGGGAGUGAUGACGGCCUUCGGGUUGUAAAGCUCUGUUAAUCGGGACGCGGUACCGGAAUAGAAAGCAACGGCUAACUACGUGCCAGCAGCCGCGGUAAUUC
rnacentral:rRNA from 1 species